AACGCUAGCUACAGGCUUAACACAUGCAAGUCGAGGGGAAACGACAUCGAAAGUUUGCUUUUGAUGGGCGUCGACCGGCGCACGGGUGAGUAACGCGUAUCCAACCUGCCCAUCACUUGGGGAUAACCUUGCGAAAGUAAGACUAAUACCCAAUGACGUCUCUAGAAGACAUCUGAAAGAGAUUAAAGAUUUAUCGGUGAUGGAUGGGGAUGCGUCUGAUUAGCUUGUUGGCGGGGUAACGGCCCACCAAGGCGACGAUCAGUAGGGGUUCUGAGAGGAAGGUCCCCCACAUUGGAACUGAGACACGGUCCAAACUCCUACGGGAGGCAGCAGUGAGGAAUAUUGGUCAAUGGACGAGAGUCUGAACCAGCCAAGUAGCGUGCAGGAUGACGGCCCUAUGGGUUGUAAACUGCUUUUAUACAGGGAUAAAGUUAGCCACGUGUGGUUAUUUGCAGGUACUGUAUGAAUAAGGACCGGCUAAUUCCGUGCCAGCAGCCGCGGUAAUACGGAAGGUCCAGGCGUUAUCCGGAUUUAUUGGGUUUAAAGGGAGCGUAGGCCGUCUGUUAAGCGUGUUGUGAAAUGUAGAUGCUCAACAUCUGAAUUGCAGCGCGAACUGGCAGACUUGAGUGUGCGCAACGUAGGCGGAAUUCGUGGUGUAGCGGUGAAAUGCUUAGAUAUCACGAAGAACUCCGAUUG
rnacentral:rRNA from 1 species